GAUGAAGAACGUAGCGAAAUGCGAUAAGUAAUGUGAAUUGCAGAAUUCAGUGAAUCAUCGAAUCUUUGAACGCACAUUGCGCCCGCCAGUAUUCUGGCGGGCAUGCCUGUUCGAGCGUCAUUUCAACCAUCAAGCCCCCGGCUUGUGUUGGGGACCUGCGGCUGCCGCAGGCCCUGAAAAGCAGUGGCGGGCUCGCUGUCACACCGAGCGUAGUAGCAUACAUCUCGCUCUGGGCGUGCUGCGGGUUCCGGCCGUUAAACCACCUUCAUAACCCAAGGUUGACCUCGGAUCAGGUAGGAAGACCCGCUGAACUUAAGCAUAUCAAUAAGCGGAAG
rnacentral:misc_RNA from 1 species